rnacentral:rRNA from 1 species
UACGUAGGGUGCAAGCGUUAAUCGGAAUUACUGGGCGUAAAGCGUGCGCAGGCGGCUUUGCAAGACAGAUGUGAAAUCCCCGGGCUCAACCUGGGAACUGCAUUUGUGACUGCAAGGCUGGAGUACGGCAGAGGGGGAUGGAAUUCCGCGUGUAGCAGUGAAAUGCGUAGAUAUGCGGAGGAACACCGAUGGCGAAGGCAGCCCCCUGGGCUAACACUGACGCUCAUGCACGAAAGCGUGGGGAGCAAACAGG